rnacentral:rRNA from 1 species
UACGUAGGGCGCAAGCGUUAUCCGGAAUUAUUGGGCGUAAAGAGCUCGUAGGCGGUUUGUCGCGUCUGCCGUGAAAGUCCGGGGCUCAACCCCGGACUUGCAGUGGGUACGGGCAGACUAGAGUGUGGUAGGGGAGACUGGAAUUCCUGGUGUAGCGGUGAGAUGCGCAGAUAUCAGGAGGAACACCGAUGGCGAAGGCAGGUCUCUGGGCCACUACUGACGCUGAGAAGCGAAAGCAUGGGGAGCGAACAGG